rnacentral:piRNA from 1 species
UUGAUUAAGAUUGCCAUUUCU